GAUGAACGCUGCGGGUAUGCCUAACACAUGCAAGUCGAACGGGGGUCUUCGGGAUCUAGUGGCGGACGGGUGAGUAACGCGUGAGAAUCUGCCUUCAGGAUGGGGACAACAGUUGGAAACGACUGCUAAUACCCGAUAUGCAGCGAUGUGAAAGAUUUAUCGCCUGGAGAUGAGCUCGCGUCUGAUUAGCUAGUUGGUGUGGUAAAGGCGCACCAAGGCGACGAUCAGUAGCUGGUCUGAGAGGAUGAGCAGCCACACUGGGACUGAGACACGGCCCAGACUCCUACGGGAGGCAGCAGUGGGGAAUUUUCCGCAAUGGGCGAAAGCCUGACGGAGCAAUACCGCGUGAGGGAGGAAGGCUCUUGGGUCGUAAACCUCUUUUCUCAGGGAAGAACAAAAUGACGGUACCUGAGGAAUAAGCAUCGGCUAACUCUGUGCCAGCAGCCGCGGUAAUACAGAGGAUGCAAGCGUUAUCCGGAAUGAUUGGGCGUAAAGCGUCCGUAGGUGGUUAUGUAAGUCUGUGGUUAAAGCGUGGAGCUCAACUCCAUAAGGGCCAUGGAAACUACAAGACUAGAGUCAAGUAGGGGUAGAGGGAAUUCCCAGUGUAGCGGUGAAAUGCGUAGAGAUUGGGAAGAACACCGGUGGCGAAAGCGCUCUACUGGACUUGUACUGACACUGAGGGACGAAAGCUAGGGGAGCGAAAGGGAUUAGAUACCCCUGUAGUCCUAGCCGUAAACGAUGGAUACUAGGUGUUGCCCG
rnacentral:rRNA from 1 species